rnacentral:antisense_RNA from 1 species
AAAAAACACAUGCCUGGAAAAGUGUGGAGGACUCACCGAUAUUGGCAGUGCGCUGCUGUCAGCACCCACUGUGGAUCAAUCAGAACACCUCCACAAACGUGAUGUCCGCCAUACUGGAUGGAGGCCAUAAAUGGCCUGGAAUGAGGCUGGAGUGCAGUGGCGUGAUGUCCGCUCACUGCAAGCUCUGCCUCCCGGGUUCACGCCAUUCUCCUGUCUCAGCCUCCUGAGUAGCUGGGACUACAGGCGCCUGCCACCACGUCUGGCUAAUUGCUUUUAGCACUUUUUUGGGAGAGGAACAGAUGAUAAUGCAUUGCCAGGCCUUCAGUACAAAAGGUAUUAGACUCAAGAUUCUACAAGAUUCUGUUUGCGCCAGACACUGAUUAGCAGUGCAAAUAUAAAAUGAAUACAAAUAGAUCACGCAUCAGAAUGCCAAUCACUUCCUAGAAACACUGAUCAAAAUUUGCAUUAAAUCAACAGAUCUUUCUUUUAAGAUGGGUGUGGCAACAGUAAAGCUUUCUACGUGUUAAACAGAAUGAACAAAACCAACACAGAGCAGUAACUUCCUGCCAGAGAGAGCAGAAGGAGACCCUUAUAGAACAGUUGUUCCACUGGUUCAAAGGCCUCGUGUGGUUCUAUCCUUUGGACUGCCUUUCUUCAACAGCCCAGACACCUGCUCCAUCAGAUUUAUAAGCCACACCCCCUAGAGCCAUGCCAAUCAAAGCAUGGC